ensembl:snRNA U6 U6 spliceosomal RNA
GUGCUGGCUUUGUCAGCACAUACACUAAAAAUUGGAAUGAUAUUUGCGUGGCCCCUGUGCGAGGAUGUCACGCAAAUUUGUGAAGCUUCCGUAUUUUUU